AAUCCAUAGGUUAAUGAGGCGAACCGGGGGAACUGAAACAUCUAAGUACCCCGAGGAAAAGAAAUCAACCGAGAUUCCCCCAGUAGCGGCGAGCGAACGGGGAGGAGCCCAGAGCCUGAAUCAGCAUGUGUGUUAGUGGAAGCGUCUGGAAAGGCGCGCGAUACAGGGUGACAGCCCCGUACACAAAAGCGCAUGUGCUGUGAGCUCGAUGAGUAGGGCGGGACACGUGGUAUCCUGUCUGAAUAUGGGGGGACCAUCCUCCAAGGCUAAAUACUCCUGACUGACCGAUAGUGAACCAGUACCGUGAGGGAAAGGCGAAAAGAACCCCGGCGAGGGGAGUGAAAAAGAACCUGAAACCGUGUACGUACAAGCAGUGGGAGCACAGGUUUACCUGUGUGACUGCGUACCUUUUGUAUAAUGGGUCAGCGACUUAUAUUCUGUAGCAAGGUUAACCGUAUAGGGGAGCCGGAGGGAAACCGAGUCUUAACCGGGCGUUAAGUUGCAGGGUAUAGACCCGAAACCCGGUGAUCUAGCCAUGGGCAGGUUGAAGGUUGGGUAACACUAACUGGAGGACCGAACCGACUAAUGUUGAAAAAUUAGCGGAUGACCUGUGGCUGGGGGUGAAAGGCCAAUCAAACCGGGAGAUAGCUGGUUCUCCCCGAAAGCUAUUUAGGUAGCGCCUCGUGAAUUCAUCUCCGGGGGUAGAGCACUGUUUCGGCUAGGGGGCCAUCCCGGCUUACCAACCCGAUGCAAACUGCGAAUACCGGAGAAUGUUAUCACGGGAGACACACGGCGGGUGCUAACGUCCGUCGUGAAGAGGGAAACAACCCAGACCGCCAGCUAAGGUCCCAAAGUCAUGGUUAAGUGGGAAACGAUGUGGGAAGGCCCAGACAGCCAGGAUGUUGGCUUAGAAGCAGCCAUCAUUUAAAGAAAGCGUAAUAGCUCACUGGUCGAGUCGGCCUGCGCGGAAGAUGUAACGGGGCUAAACCAUGCACCGAAGCUGCGGCAGCGAACGUAUCACUUAAAGCGAUUCAGCGGGUUACGAUUGACGGAGCGAAGCGACGUCAAAGCGUAUACAAAGUCGAGUCGGUUUAAGGAUACGUUCGUUGGGUAGGGGAGCGUUC
rnacentral:rRNA from 1 species